UACGAAGGGUGCAAGCGUUACUCGGAAUUACUGGGCGUAAAGCGUGCGUAGGUGGUUUGUUAAGUCUGUUGUGAAAGCCCCGGGCUUAACCUGGGAACUGCAUCUUAUACUGCAUAGCUUGAGUGCAAUAGAGGGUAGUGGAAUUUCCGGUGUAGCGGUGAAAUGCGUAGAUAUCGGAAGGAACACCAGUGGCGAAGGCGGCUACCUGGAUUGACACUGACACUGAGGCGCGAGAGCGUGGGGAGCAAACAGG
rnacentral:rRNA from 1 species